UCGAGAAUCAUUCGCAAUGGGCGCAAGCCUGACGAUGCGACGCCGUGUGUGCGAUGAAGGCCUUCGGGUUGUAAAGCACUUUCGCUUGGGAACAAGAAAGAUUGGCUAAUAUCCAGUUAAUUUGAGGGUACCAGGUAAAGAAGCACCGGCUAACUCCGUGCCAGCAGCUGCGGUAAUACGGAGGGUGCAAGCAUUAAUCGGAUUUAUUGGGCGUAAAGGGCGCGUAGGCGGGUACGUAAGUCAGAUGUGAAAUCCCGGAGCUCAACUCCGGAACAGCAUUUGAAACUGCGUGUCUAGAGGGUAGACGGAGAAAAUAGAAUUCCACAAGUAGCGGUGAAAUGCGUAGAUAUGUGGAAGAAUACCAGUGGCGAAGGCGAUUUUCUAGUUUAUACCUGACGCUGAGGCGCGAAAGCAAGGGGAUCAAACAGGAUUAGAUACCCGCGUAGUCC
rnacentral:rRNA from 1 species